GUUCAUUCCAUUGGAGUUUGGAUGUAAAAGUCAGGAUAAUUGGUUGCAGGGAAAAUGUUGCCAGAUCACUGAAAGCCCUCAUACUUGCAUUGUAAUGUCAAAAGGAAGUAAGUGGAGCUCCAGGGAUCUUCUACUCUGGCCUCCUGAAUCUGCCGUUCCUUUUCGAUCUUCAGUCUGUAAGAUGUGAGGGUCAUGAGGGCAGUGUUCAAGAGGCGAUGCUGCGAGCAAGGGUAACUUUGGUGUAUUUAAUGCAAAUCCAGUAAAGAUUUAAUCUCCCAAAUCUCUCUGUAGCUAUCUGUCUCUUCCUAUGGAAUUCGAUCUAAAUACAUGAUAUAUUUGUGUUAUUAUU